rnacentral:tmRNA from 1 species
GGGGGCGUAAAGGUUUCGACGGGGAUCUCGGGAUGUAUCAAGCGGGCAGAGCCGGGCAGCUCUUUAAACUGUUCAACCUAAAAUUAAACGCAGAUAACACUGCUCUUGCUGCCUGAAUAAGGCGGUGACGCGGCCCUGAGGGGCCGCCCGUCGGCCCGGGAUCUACCGUUGUUCCGGAUACCGGCGUCGAUUAAGCGGUAACGUGCACCGGCCUUUAUCCUUUGAACCGGUCAUGAAUAAAAAGGAUACCUGCUGACGGUCUCCGGCGGUCGCCGCCGUCAGGGGGAAUCAUUCGCGGCCGCCUGCGCCCGGAGAAAGAUACGUUGAAAGGUUUUCGGACGAGGGUUCGAUUCCCUCCGCCUCCACCA